GUCUUCAGGGGCAGAGGAUGAUAGUGGGUCAAAGAAACCGAGUUCAGCUGAAGAAGGCGAAGGGGGGGAUGAAGAGGAGGAUGAAUGAUUGUCCUUUUGUGAAUACUGCUGUAUAUUAUCUAGAGCACUUUAUAAAGUACUAUUGUUGUUUAUAAGGAAUAUUAUUAAAUGCAUUCCUCUGAAAGGUA